CCUACGGGAGGCAGCAGUGGGGAAUAUUGCACAAUGGGGGAAACCCUGAUGCAGCGACGCCGCGUGAGUGAAGAAGUAUCUCGGUAUGUAAAGCUCCAUUUGCAGGGAAGAAAAUGACGGUACCUGAUUAAGAAGCCCCGGCUAACUACGUGCCAGCAGCCGGGGUACUACGGAGGGGGCCGGCGUUAUCCGGAUUUACUGGGUGUAAUGGGAGCGUAGACGGUAUAACAUGUCAGUGGUGAAAUGACGGGGCUUACCCCCGGAACUGUUUUGGAAACUGUGCGGCUAGAGUGCAGGGGGGGUAGGUGGAAUGCGUGGUGUAGCGGUGAAAUGCAUAGAUAUCAGGAAGAACACCAGUUGCGAAGGCAGCUUACUGAACUGUAACUGACGUUGAGGCACGAAAGCGUGGGGAGCAAACAGGAUUAGAUACCCCAGUAGUC
rnacentral:rRNA from 1 species